AAAUGCCCCUGAUUCUCACAGCUUGGUUUAGAACAAUGCACUGUCUGGAUGCUGGAAAAUGCCCCUGAUUCUCACAGCUUGGUUUAGAACAAUGCACUGUCUGGAUGCUGGAAAAUGCCCCUGAUUCUCACAGCUUGGUUUAGAACAAUGCACUGUCUGGAGUGCUGGAAAAUGCCCUCUGAUUCUAACAGCUUGAUUUAGAACAAUACACUGUCUGGAGUGCUGGAAAAUGCCCCUGAUUCUCACAGCUUGGUUUAGAACAAUGCACUGUCUGGAGUGCUGGAAAA